UACAGAAAGCCCAUGAGCACCUUUUGGGUCUCAAAAUAGGGUCCUCUGUAUCUGAAAUGUUUAACCUGUAAAUAUUAACUGUACUUACUCAGAGAGGAAGAUGCAGUAAGCCUAUCACUUCUCUAGUCAAUGGAUUCAUUUGGAUCUGCUACAGUCAAAAACAAAACCUUUGGUCACUUUAAUAGAUACUUUAUAUCAUACACAUUUAUGACACAUUGUACCAGUUUAUUCAAUUUCUUUUUUUUUUUUCCCUACACAUGAACUGGACAAUCCCCAUUUCAAAUGGAGAAUUUUCCCGUCCGACACCUCACCACUAGUCAUUUUGUUACAACUGCUAAUAUUAAAAAUAUUUAAAAUCUGUAUCAAUAUAAUUUUAUCCUGUACAUCUUUCUAAUAAAACUAGGGAGGGAGAGAAUGGAAGUACACCAUGGAGCCAACACCCCAUCACACUCAACAAGCUCUCAUCCAACUUCAUCAUCUACUGCCCUGAUAAAUGUACACACAUAUCAAGUUACUGAGAGUGCCCUUGGAACCAGGCCAAGCAUGACACACCUUUACAGCCAGGCAAUGAGAGGGACAACCAGCCUUCUCAAGACCCCAUUGUUCUCAGGUGAGCCUGUGGCCUGCCCCACUGCCACUAUUCCAUAUGAGGCAGUACAAGUCAGGGAAUCUUGCAAACAUGCCAGUCGUCAAACCAAAUAAUUCACUGACACAUGGGACUUGACAUCUAGUCCUCUACGAAUAGAAACCUCCCAUUGUGUGGGAUAAUAUGAGAUGGGAUCAUAUAGGAAGAUGUCUUGAUCACGGUUGACAGGGGGGCAGUGUUGUGCAUCAGGAGCAGGUAGAGACGACUUAACACUUUAUCUCAGUGCCAGGAGUCUGAACUUAACCAGGCAAUAGCAGAUGACUAGAUCUACCUGAUUAUUCACAGCACAUAGGGACAAAAUAAAGAAACAAAUAUACACCUACAACAGAUUCACAAGGAGAUAAGUCCACUCCCCAU
ensembl:lncRNA